AUUGAACGCUGGCGGCAUGCUUUACACAUGCAAGUCGAACGGUAACAGGCCUUCGGGUGCUGACGGGUGGCGAACGGGUGAGUAAUGCAUCGGAACGUGCCCAGAGGUGGGGGAUAACGCAGCGAAAGCUGUGCUAAUACCGCAUGUGAUCUGAGGAUGAAAGCGGGGGACCAGGCAGCAAUGUUUGGCCUCGCGCCUUUGGAGCGGCCGAUGUCAGAUUAGGUAGUUGGUGGGGUAAAGGCCUACCAAGCCGACGAUCUGUAGCUGGUCUGAGAGGACGACCAGCCACACUGGAACUGAGACACGGCCCAGACUCCUACGGGAGGCAGCAGUGGGGAAUUUUGGACAAUGGGCGCAAGCCUGAUCCAGCAAUGCCGCGUGCGGGAAGAAGGCCUUCGGGUUGUAAACCGCUUUUGUACGGAACGAAAAGGCUCUGGCUAAUACCUGGGGCUGAUGACGGUACCGUAAGAAUAAGCACCGGCUAACUACGUG
rnacentral:rRNA from 1 species